rnacentral:rRNA from 1 species
UACGAAGGGGGCUAGCGUUGCUCGGAAUUACUGGGCGUAAAGGGCGCGUAGGCGGGUCGUCAAGUUGGGGGUGAAAGCCCGGGGCUCAACCGAGGAACUGCUUUCGAGACUGCCGAGCUAGAGUGCGGAAGGGGCAACUGGAAUUCCCAGUGUAGCGGUGAAAUGCGUAGAUAUUGGGAAGAACACCGGAGGCGAAGGCGGGUUGCUGGGCCGACACUGACGCUGAGGCGCGAAAGCCAGGGGAGCAAACGGG